rnacentral:lncRNA from 1 species
UUGUAAGGCUUUCUGGGAAACAUUGGCAGCAAACACUAGAUUAAAUGUUUAUAACAGCAAGCCAGAUGGGAAACAGAGAUAAGGAAAAUCUCAUGGAAACGUUUUUUUUUUUUUUUUUUCCCAAACCACAACACUGUUUUAAAUUAACCUGGCCAAGGGAAAACAUUUUCACAUUGUUGACCAAUAACAAGUUUUUGGUAAAUAAUAGUCUUUAAAUUGUGGGAAUAGUUUCACAAAAACAUAACCAUUUGUGUCAUCUGUGACCAAUGUUACAAACAGAUACCAGAUAGAAUUGAUGGGUGGCUCCAAGGAUGUGUUAAAAUGCUAAUUUAAAAAGUUGAUACUUUGAAGCUAAAAAUGUAGCAUAUAUCAUAUGAGAAGUGGGGGGAAAUCUCAUGGAAAUAUUUAGCUGUACUUGAGAAUGUCUGACAUGGAGACUGUGGUGCAUAAAUAGGCUAGGCAAAUUCUGAAAAAAAUCCAUUUGCUGCUUGAGAAUUCAGGUAGAAGUCUGCCAUUUUUAAAGAUAAAAAUCUAUCUCUUAAUGGAAUUGGGCAAUAAGUGUCUCACCCACUUGAGCCUGUGCUUGCUUCCUUUCAUGUGAUUAGAAUGUUCUGAAAGUUAACAAAGGUAGAUUUACAGUGAAGAUACUAACACUGAAAUAUAUAUAUAGUGUAUGUGUGCGCGUAUUUGCGCACACGCGCACUACUGUGAUUUUCUCUCCCUCACACUUCCUUUUUUUAGGUGAUAUUGGAGUGAACAUGAGCAUUUUUGGAUUGUGUCUAAAUGGAACUUAAAUUUGAAAGACAUUUGUUUGCUUUGUUCGUAUGUAUUUUUGUGUGAUGUAGACAGAUCCAUGAACAGUUAACUUAUUGAUAUUUUACAAGUUUGGAAAUGGCUUUUGGGAAUAGUCUUGCCAUUCACUGCACCUAAUCACUUAAAAAAAAUGAAGGUACAUGUUUUACCAUAACUGACAUAUCCCAUGGAGAAGAAACAAAGUUUAAAUUGCAGAUAGAAAGGAGUUGGUCUAUGGAAUAUUUUUCCACUCAAUAGUUUAUGGGAUAUUUUCCCAUUUAAUAGUUGUGUAAAAUAUUUUCAAAGCUUAAAAUAUGUAUGUAUAUAAUUUUUAAAAAUAAAACCUCUAAGUUAUAUUUCUUAAAGAUUUUGAAAAAAUAAGGUGUAAAAUUAUUCAAAAAAAAUCACAAAAGCUCAAAGACAUUAUUAUAACUGCUAUUUGGAAAGAUAGUUUGGAAUAUUCAAUUAAAACAAAUGAGAAGUUACAGAUUCCUGAUUUGGACAUAUAUGAAGAGUAUCUUCUUUUUCACUUUUAAUUUUAUCAUCAAAUGAUUUGAGAAAAUGUUAAUAUAAAAAUAAUAGGUUAUGUCAUAUAAGGGAUAAGGAUGAGGAAUGAAAUCAAUAGAAAUUAUUCUGAUCUUAAGAAGGGAAUUUGACAUAUCAAAAGAAGCAAUUUAUUAAGUUGAAGAGACGAAUUUUGAAUAGAAGAAAUGAUCAAAUCCUGAGAUUAGUUUGAAUCUAACAAUGAAGAUAAAUGAAUUAUAUGAAUACAUUUGGGAAAAUAUUUAAAUUUGUUGCUGUAUAAAUGAGCUCUUGCUUGCUGUAUUAUAAUUCCCCAAACCUAAUGGCUUAUAUACUCUAUAGGCCAAAUCUGGCCCACAGCCUAUUUUUGUACAUCCUGCGAACUAAGAACAAUUUUACAUUUUUAAAUAUGUGUUGAAGAAGAAGAAAGAAGAAAAAAGAAGAGAAGGAAGAAGAAGACAAUGAACAACAACAGAGACCACAGGUGGCCCAGAAAGUCUAAUAUACUGAAUUCUUGCCAACCUCUAUUUUAAAACAAUUUAUUGAACUCAGCAUUCAUCAUGUUGGUGAUUUUAGGAUGGGCUCAGUUGGGCUGUUCUUCUGCUGUCCUGGUCUUGGCUGAUCUCACUCAUGUGUCUGCAGUCAGCUGGGUGGGUGGGAUUACCUAAAGACUGGUUAUCUGAUACACCAUCCCUUAUAGGUUUGGUGGCAGGUGAACAGUCAACAGAAAUGACAGAGUGAAUGGGCCACAGUCUCUCAUUAUUCAGAAGACAGGUCAGGGCUUAUUCUUAGGAUGAUAGUUUCAGUGUUUCUAAUAAUAGCUAGCCUCAAAUUGAAGUGCCUUUCUGGCCUUAGCUUAGACCGUAUUUGGUAAUAGUCCAUCAAAGUAAGUGCUGUAGUUAGGUUCAGUUACCUAAAGCAGAGAGAGAUGCUAUGAAAACAGAUGGAUGAAUAAAAAGGAAAAAAUUGUGACCACUUUUAUCCAUCAUACUUGUUGAUUUGAUGUGAAAUAAUAACAAAGAAGAUAAUGAAAACUAAUCAUAUGCCAUUGCUAUAAGCACACUGAUAAUUAACUGCUAAAUAAGUGAUGUCAAUUUAAUGACUAAGAUCAGUCACACAGUAGAAAAUUUGAAAUGUCCUGAAACUUUUCUGUUUUUAUAAGAAAGAAAUUUGAAGAAUUCUUUCCCAAAUUGACCACAGUUCUUUGAUUUUAUAAGUAAUUAUCAAUAACUAGUGAAUUUGAAUGAAUUUUUGCUCAACUAUCAAUAAUAGAAAACAUGAUUUAGCAUGACUAAUCAUGAUAAGAGAAAAUGAAUUAUUUUCUUUUUUUGAAAAGUUCUUACAAAAUCAUUGUUCAGUUAAUAAUGAAAACAUUUAUAAAGCAAAAACAUGUAGGAGAAAAAUGUAUAUAUAGACAUGUGCUGGGUAUUUCAUCUAAAAGUGUUUUUUGGAUUUUGUGAGGUGGAUAGUAUUUUUUUACUUUGUGAAAUUUGUAAUUUAUUAUUUUUUCCUAUUCUAAAACAUUUAUUUUCCUAUCUAAUUUUAGAUAUAUACUAUUGCAUUCUUUUAUUAUAAAAAGCCUACAAAGUUUCCCAAUUUCAGGCCCAUGCCUGAAUCUACCCAGGAAAGCACCAGGAAGUGUUCCAGCUCCAGAAGCCUAGGUCUGUCCAGGACAGCAGCUGGUGCAGAGGGAGGAGGGAGAAGAAAAAGAGUUACAACUCCUUGUGUGAUCCUGUGUGGUGGUAUUUGGCAUCCUGCAUUUUCUUGUCAGUUCCAAGAUUAAUUAAAAAGCCUUUGGUAAUCUUUUCUGCCCUCAAUCAUGACACAUGCAAAUAUCAGCUCUAGGGUAAUCAGAUCUCUAUGGUUUUGAAGAUGGCUAAACUGAUAAAUUCAAAUGCACAUUUACUUUUGUUAUCCCUAUUCCUAUUUCUCUAUCAAUUGCCCCCUGCCUUGAAGUGUUAUUCAAAUGAGAUAAGAAGUGGAUUUCAGUUUGACAAGUGGAAUAAAAAUGUUUCUGAGAGACUGUAUAAUUUGCCCAUGGUUACAUGGUACAUGAGGGAAGACAAGAUGGCAAACAAUCUGUGUGUAUUACUGAGGACCAUUUCUUCCCCAUCUCUUCCCUCUUUAUUCUUUCAAUGCAAAGGGGCUCUUCUCUGAAAUGAUGAGAAGCAUAUCUUCUAUAGGAAUGGCAUCUUUCUUAUAUGCUCAUCAUUGCUCAUUCAGAAAUCCUGAAAAAAUAGGGAAAACAGUUUUUAAAAGGGACAAUAUUAAAUGUUAGUAUAUGCUGAGUAUCUAAUUGUAGCACAUAAUUCUUCACAUGUGAAGAUUCAAGUAGGUGAUUUUAAGGGAGUAUAUGGUAUAAAUAAAGAGAUUUGUUGUUGGGGGCAAUUCAGAAAGGAAGGAGGAAUGAUGAGCAAUGGCUGGUAGGUCAUAUUUAUGGAUAUGGUUUUAUUUAACAUAUUAAUUCCACAUACCUAUCACAAAGCACAGAAGAUCCCAAAAUGACUCUUGGAAACCAUCUAUUCCAAGUCCCUACAUUUACAAAAGGGAUACUUCAUUUCCCCUAGCCCGACCAACAAAUCUGACUUGCCAGAAUCACACAGACAAACAGUGACAGAGUUAUUAAUUUUUUCCUCAGCUUUCUCUAGACUGAACUAUAGUACCAAUCAGAUCAUUACUAUUCAAAACCAAUAGAUGCUCUUUAAAGCUAUCCUUAGCUUGAUUCAGACCCUAAAUUUACUUCUGGUUUACUGCUAUGUCCUGGUCUUUUCCAGAUUUUAUUCCAAACCUGAAAACUCAACUAAUUCUUCAUUGUUAUUUUGUUGUUUAUUUUCAUUAUGUGUAUAGAUAGUAAUUGCACAUAGAAAAUAUCAGUUUUUGGUAAUGAAUUGAAUUAUUCCUAUUCCAUGAACAGUAUGAAGGCACCAUCAAUGAAGCUGAAUGAUCAGACGUUUUAUCUUCAAUAAAAACGUAUAGUCCUUGAGGAAAGGAAGUGAAUUUCAUAUAUUACAUCUUUUUUUAUAAGUGUUCAGCAUAUGUUGGAACCUUUAUAUAUAUAUAUAUAUAUAUAUAUAUAUAUAUAUAUAUAUAUAUAUAUAUAUAUAUAUAUAUAUAUAUAUUUGACAGUACAAAUUAUGGAAUCACCAGCCAGUGACUCAAUACUGCCCUUACAGCUGCUAGUUAUCAUUAUCUUUAUAUGUCAAAUGAUGACAUUUUGAUCCUGAGUAGAUGAAAAUGAGAUUGGGAUAAGCCUAUUUUCAAAUGGCUCAAAGGACAGUUCUCAAUGCUACCUUCAAGAAUGAAUGUUUACAAGAGGAAGUGAGGGGAAAGGGGAAAAAAAAACAAGGGGGAGAAAUGAAUUACAGUAGAUGGGGUAGAGAGAGAAGAUGGGAGGGGAGGGGAUGGGGGAUAGUAGAGGAUAGAAAAGGCAGCAGAAUACAACAGACAAUAGUAUAGCAAUAUGUAAAACAGUGGAUGUGUAACCAAUGUGAUGCUGCAAUCUGUAUACAGGGUAAAAAUGGGAGUUCAUGACCCACUUG